AUAUAGGUCCUUUUGAGGACCAUAAAUUUGGUUCUAAGAUUUCAU
rfam:Cavia porcellus supercont2_28 genomic scaffold, whole genome shotgun sequence.